rnacentral:rRNA from 1 species
GAUGAACGCUGGCGGCGUGCCUAAUACAUGCAAGUCGAGCGAAUGGAUUAAGAGCUUGCUCUUAUGAAGUUAGCGGCGGACGGGUGAGUAACACGUGGGUAACCUGCCCAUAAGACUGGGAUAACGCCGGGAAACCGGGGCUAAUACCGGAUAACAUUUUGAACCGCAGGGUGUGAAAUUGAAAAGCGGCUUCGGCUGUCACUUAUGGAUGGAGCAGCGUCGCAUUAGCUAGAUGGUGAGGUAACGGCUCACCAAGGCAACGAUGCGUAGCCGACCUGGGAGGGUGAUCGGCCACACUGAGACUGAGACACGGCCCAGACUCCUACGGGAAGCAGCAGUAGGGAAUCUUCCGCAAUGGACGAAAGUCUGACGAAGCAACGCCGCGUGAGUGAUGAAGGCUUUCGGGUCGUAAAACUCUGUUGUUAGGGAAGAACAAGUGCUAGUUGAAUAAGCUGGCACCUUGACGGUACCUAACCAGAAAGCCACGGCUAACUACGUGCCAGCAGCCGCGGUAA